GUGGCUGUAGCUCAGUUGGUUAGAGCGCCUGAUUGUGGAUCAGGAGGCCGUGGGUUCAAAUCCCAUCAGCCACCCCA
rnacentral:tRNA from 1 species